UACAAUAAUUUAGUGAGUUAUAUUUCCAAUCUCCCCAAAAUUAAUAUCUCCAUUAUUUGUCAUUUUAUAUUUCUCCCAUAUUAUUACUUCCUACAAUAAUUCUCAAUUCGCGAUCACCGUACCCGCUUCCGCAGUGCUUGUUAAUUCAUUCCCUAACAUAAUCUAUAAGUGAAAAAUACCACUUCUAUUUCCCAGGAGUAUAUAUUCUAACCACUCUAUUUUUUUUCUUGAUUUUCAGCAGACCAGACUUUUGAUUCUGUUUUUAAUUUGUUUCAUUAUAGCUUUUAGAGGAAUUAUAUUGAUCCUCACUUUGACUCCGAUGGUGGUUUAUUGUUCUUGGUGUCACAAGAAGGGUGGUUGGGGUUGGUUCUUCACAACUCUUUGAUCUCUCAUUAAAACAAGACCUUGAGCAAAACAGUAACUGCCGGCUGUUGAUAUGAAUAGGCAGGCAUUCUCAUAGAAACAUAAGUCGAUAUUUGGCCAUAUUCUUCUUUUACAAAAACAUUUCAUCCUUUCCUGUUAAAGUCUGAUAGUUGGUUUUGGUAGAGUGAGGAGCUAAAGAAAUUGGACCCUGUCACCUGCUGCAGUAAUGCAAAACUCCCUGCGGUGUUUUUGGGUUAGUUUUCUACUUGCAUGUCCCCACGAAAGAGAAAUAAUUCUUUGAUUUCCAUUUAUAUAUGGACCCACCAUAUUUUUCUGUUGACUUUACCAUAAAUAUUUAAGAGUAUUAAUUUAGGAUUGGUUGAUAACAAAAUGGAAGAGCCAUUGAAGAAGGGGCAUAUGUGCAACCCGUUUUUCAUACUCCAGCAUUAUAUAUGCACAGUACAUUAUAUAUAUAUAUAUUUUGACUGGAAAUUGAGUGGCAAUUUCCUAGUUUGCUGUUUGUAGCUAACUUCUAAAGUCAUGGCGAGAAGUUCAAGUCAAUCGACUCUUUCAGCUCUGUGGUUACAUCGUGUGGAAAUAUGCAGCACAAUACAGUUGACCUCAAGUCAAGGUCCACCUUUUAAGUCUUUCUACUGGCCGGCUGCUCUCCUCUUCUAUAAUUCUCUUCCUUCUCCAUUGCUUGAGGGAGAGAAUUGAAGGAGAGAGGUGCUGGUAAUGGUAUGGGUCUACCCUUUAAUCCUUGUUUCUUUUUCCUUCUCUUUCCCUUAAUUCUCUUAUUAUGCUUUGCUCAUGGAGAAGAUGAGUUGUCAUAUAAUUGUACCAAGGAAUUCUCCUGUGGAAAUAUCAGUCAUCUGGAGUUCCCUUUUGCUCAACACACGCAGCCUCAUUGUGGGUUAGUGGUAGUAAAUUGUUCUGCAACACCUCCAACACUCCAGUUGGAAACCGGGGGAGAUUGGUAUCAGCUUCAGCUUGUGAAACCACCUGUCUGGGGUGACUGGGGUGAGUAUGUGAUCUUCCUUGGAGACUCGAAACUUCAGAGACUCUUCGAUAGCCAUAAUUGCUCAAUUUUAGACGGCUACACCAUCCAAUUUCCAAAUUCUCCUUCUUUCAAAUUCCACAAUUUUGAAAAAACAGAAGCAAA